AGUGAACGCUGGCGGCGUGCCUAAUACAUGCAAGUCGAACGGAGUGGCGCACGGGUGAGUAAUAUAUAGCUAAUCUGCCCCUUGCUGGAGGACAACAGUUAGAAAUGACUGCUAAUACUCCAUAGCAAGGGAUGAGACUAUAUCGUAUCAGCUAGUCGGUGGGGUAACGGCCUACCGAGGCUAUGACGCGUAACUGGUCUGAGAGGAUGAUCAAUCACAUUUGAACUGAGAAACAGUCCAAACUCCUACGGGAGGGAGCAGUAGGGAAUAUUGGGGCAUGGGGGAAACCCUGACGCAGCAACGGCGCGUGGAAGAUGACCAGUUUCGGAGCGUAAACUCCUUUUUUUAAGGAAGCGGUACCUAACGAAUAAGCACCGGCUAACUCCGUGCCAGCAGCCGCGGUAAUAC
rnacentral:rRNA from 1 species